rnacentral:pre_miRNA from 1 species
CAAGUACUCCCUCUGUCCGGAAUUACUUGUCAUCAAAAUGGAUGUGUCUAGAACUAAAAUACAUCUAGAUACAUCCAUUUCAAUGACAAGUAUUUCCGGACAGAGGGAGUACCAG